rnacentral:rRNA from 1 species
UACAGAGGGGGCAAGCGUUGUUCGGAAUUACUGGGCGUAAAGGGCGCGUAGGCGGCCUGUUAAGUCGAACGUGAAAUCCCCGGGCUCAACCCGGGAACUGCGUCCGAUACUGGCAGGCUUGAAUCCGGGAGAGGGAUGUGGAAUUCCCAGUGUAGCGGUGAAAUGCGUAGAUAUUGGGAGGAACACCAGUGGCGAAGGCGGCUCACUGGACCGGUACUGACGCUGAUGCGCGAAAGCGUGGGGAGCAAACGGG